AUAGACAUAUUCCUGAAAAGAAAAAACAGUCUUAGAUAUAAAAUGGAGAUGUGAUGUUUGUGCAUGCACUUAGCUGGGUUCAAUGAGUCCGUGUGCACUACUACGACUUUUUCGUUUUCCUUCUCCGUCGUCUUUGUUUAUUUCCAAUUUCAACCCCUUAAAUACAGCUUCCAUCAACACACCCUCUACCCGAAAGCAGUUCCGGAGCUACAAGAAGACCAUGGCUUCAUCAAUGUCUUCUUCACCAAACACCAGCAAUGACCAGCUCCCCAAAAUCACUGCCCCCUACGGCUCCUGGAACUCUCCAAUUACUGCCGACGUUGUUACUGGCGCCUCCAAGCGGCUUGGUGGUACUGCCGUCACCGCCAAUGGCCACCUUAUCUGGCUUGAAUCACGCCCCACUGAAUCCGGGAGGGGAGUGCUUGUUAAGGAAUCGAUAAAGGAAGGGGAUGAGCCUUGUGAUAUUACUCCGAAGGAGUUUUCAGUGCGGAACACGACGCAGGAAUACGGUGGUGGUGCGUUCGCGGUGGCUGGUGACACCGUUGUCUUUUCCAAUUACAACGAUCAAAGACUUUACAAGCAAUCUUUAAAUUCAGAUUCGUCUCCGCAAGCACUAACUCCCGAUUACGGUGGACGAUCAGUUAGUUAUGCAGAUGGGGUGUUUGAUUUUCGUUUCAAUCGUUUUAUUACCAUCCAAGAAGAUGGACGUCAAAGUAGCUUGAAUCCAAUCACCACAAUUGUGUCAGUGGAACUUGACGGCAAGGAUAUUAAUGAACCGAAGGUCUUAGUUGGAGGAAAUGAUUUCUAUGCCUUCCCACGAGUGGAUCCCAGAGGGGAACGGAUUGCAUGGAUUGAAUGGGGUCAUCCUAACAUGCCUUGGGAUAAAUCUGAGCUCUGGGUUGGCUACCUUUCUGAGAAUGGAGAGGUCUAUAAAAGAGUCUGUGUAGCUGGUGGUGAUCCGAAGCUUGUGGAAUCUCCUACUGAACCAAAGUGGUCAGCUCAGGGAGAACUAUACUUUAUUACCGAUAGACAAACUGGGUUUUGGAAUCUCUAUAAAUGGUUUGAGGCUAACAAUGUAGUGGCUCCAAUAUAUUCUUUAAGCGCCGAAUUUUCCCGACCCUUAUGGGUUUUUGGCACAAACUCUUAUGAUUUAUUAAAAACCGGCGAUGGAAGAAACAUCAUAGUCUGCAGCUACAGACGGCGGGGGCAAUCAUAUCUUGGAGUUUUGGAUGAGACGCAAAGCUCAAUAUCCUUGCUUGAUAUCCCAUUCACAGAUAUUGAGAAUAUUGCUCUGGGAAGUGAUUGUAUAUAUGUUGAAGGAUCUUCAGGACUUCAUCCAUCAUCUAUUGCCAAGGUUACCCUAAAUGAACGAUCCUUGGAAGUAGUAGGCUUCACUAUUAUCUGGUCAUCUUCACCAGAUAUUUUGAAAUUUAAGUCGUACUUCAGCCUUCCUGAGUUCAUUGAGUUUCCAACUGAAGUUCCCGGUCAAAAUGCUUAUGCUUACUUUUAUCCACCAUCCAACCCUAGAUAUCAGGCUAGUCCAGAUGAAAAGCCUCCACUGUUGUUGAAAAGCCAUGGAGGGCCGACUGCUGAAACACGUGGAAGUUUAAAUCCUAGUAUUCAGUACUGGACUAGUCGUGGAUGGGGUUAUGUUGAUGUCAAUUAUGGUGGCAGCACGGGUUAUGGGCGAGAGUACCGAGAAAGGCUUUUGAGGCGGUGGGGAAUUGUUGAUGUCAAUGACUGCUGCAGUUGUGCAAGAUUUUUGGUGGAAUCUGGAAAGGUUGAUGGAGAACAGUUAUGCAUCACUGGGGGAUCUGCUGGGGGAUAUACCACCUUAGCUGCUCUUGCUUUUAGAGAUACAUUUAAGGCAGGAGCUUCCUUGUAUGGGAUAGCUGACUUACGCUUGUUGAGAGCAGAUACACACAAGUUUGAAUCUCAUUAUAUUGACAAUCUCGUUGGGAAAGAAAAAGAUUACUUCGACAGGUCACCGAUCAAUUUUGUUGACAAAUUUUCUUGCCCUAUAAUCCUCUUCCAAGGAUUAGAAGACAAAGUCGUACUGCCUAAUCAAUCGCGUAAGAUAUAUAAUGCAUUGAAGGAAAAGGGCUUGCCUGUUGCACUAGUUGAGUAUGAAGGAGAACAACAUGGUUUCCGCAAGGCAGAAAAUAUUAAAUUUACCCUGGAACAACAAAUGAUGUUCUUUGCACGAACAGUAGGACGUUUCCAAGUUGCAGACGAUAUUAACCCGCUCAAAAUUGACAACUUCGACUAAGGACCUAACAUGCUGCAUUUGGGGUAAAUAUGGUUGGUCUAGAAUUUCUUCCUGUACCUGGUUGAGGGAGCCACUUCAAAAUUUCUGCAUGUGUAGACUAGUUGGGGGUCAUAUGAAUUCAUUUGGAUUGUGUUGGCCUGUUGGUUUUCUUGCUACAAGUCCAUUUAUAUACUCUGAUGUAGAAGUUUGGAGUCGCCUCAAACUUCGAUGAGAAUGUCUUUGAUGGGUUUGAUUGCUUUAUCUACAAUCUUUUGAAGGAUAAUUUUAUUGAAUAAAAACAUUUCAUUAUAUUUACAAUUUUUUUAAUUAUAUUCAUAAUACAUUGAUAAGUAAAGGUAUUAUUCUAUUUGUCC